CGGAAUUACUGGGCGUAAAGGGUUCGUAGGUGGCUUGCUAAGUCAGACGUGAAAUCCCUCAGCUUAACUGGGGAACUGCGUCUGAUACUGGCGAGCUUGAGUGCAGGAGAGGAACGCAGAAUUCCAGGUGUAGCGGUGAAAUGCGUAGAUAUCAGGAGGAACACCGAUGGCGAAGGCAGCACUCUGGGCCGGCACUGACGCUGAGGAGCGAAAGCUAGGGGAGCAAACAGG
rnacentral:rRNA from 1 species